GGGUUGUGAGGUUAAGCGACUAAGCGUACACGGUGGAUGCCCUGGCAGUCAGAGGCGAUGAAGGGCGUGCUAAUCUGCGAUAAGCGCCGGUAAGGUGAUAUGAACCGUUAUAACCGGCGAUACCCGAAUGGGGAAACCCAGUGUGAUUCGUCACACUAUCAUUAACUGAAUCCAUAGGUUAAUGAGGCGAACCGGGGGAACUGAAACAUCUAAGUACCCCGAGGAAAAGAAAUCAACCGAGAUUCCCCCAGUAGCGGCGAGCGAACGGGGAGGAGCCCAGAGCCUGAAUCAGCAUGUGUGUUAGUGGAAGCGUCUGGAAAGGCGCGCGAUACAGGGUGACAGCCCCGUACACAAAAGCGCAUGUGCUGUGAGCUCGAUGAGUAGGGCGGGACACGUGGUAUCCUGUCUGAAUAUGGGGGGACCAUCCUCCAAGGCUAAAUACUCCUGACUGACCGAUAGUGAACCAGUACCGUGAGGGAAAGGCGAAAAGAACCCCGGCGAGGGGAGUGAAAAAGAACCUGAAACCGUGUACGUACAAGCAGUGGGAGCNNNNNNNNNNNNNNNNNNNNNNNNNNNNNNNNNNNNNNNNNNNNNNNNNNNNNNNNNNGGGCGUUAAGUUGCAGGGUAUAGACCCGAAACCCGGUGAUCUAGCCAUGGGCAGGUUGAAGGUUGGGUAACACUAACUGGAGGACCGAACCGACUAAUGUUGAAAAAUUAGCGGAUGACCUGUGGCUGGGGGUGAAAGGCCAAUCAAACCGGGAGAUAGCUGGUUCUCCCCGAAAGCUAUUUAGGUAGCGCCUCGUGAAUUCAUCUCCGGGGGUAGAGCACUGUUUCGGCUAGGGGGCCAUCCCGGCUUACCAACCCGAUGCAAACUGCGAAUACCGGAGAAUGUUAUCACGGGAGACACACGGCGGGUGCUAACGUCCGUCGUGAAGAGGGAAACAACCCAGACCGCCAGCUAAGGUCCCAAAGUCAUGGUUAAGUGGGAAACGAUGUGGGAAGGCCCAGACAGCCAGGAUGUUGGCUUAGAAGCAGCCAUCAUUUAAAGAAAGCGUAAUAGCUCACUGGUCGAGUCGGCCUGCGCGGAAGAUGUAACGGGGCUAAACCAUGCACCGAAGCUGCGGCAGCGACACUGUGUGUUGUUGGGUAGGGGAGCGUUCUGUAAGCCUGUGAAGGUGUGUCGUGAGGCAUGCUGGAGGUAUCAGAAGUGCGAAUGCUGACAUAAGUAACGAUAAAGCGGGUGAAAAGCCCGCUCGCCGGAAGACCAAGGGUUCCUGUCCAACGUUAAUCGGGGCAGGGUGAGUCGACCCCUAAGGCGAGGCCGAAAGGCGUAGUCGAUGGGAAACGGGUUAAUAUUCCCGUACUUGGUGUUACUGCGAAGGGGGGACGGAGAAGGCUAUGUUGGCCGGGCGACGGUUGUCCCGGUUUAAGCGUGUAGGUGUGUGUUCCAGGUAAAUCCGGUUCACUUUAACACUGAGGCGUGACGACGAGGCACUACGGUGCUGAAGCAACAAAUGCCCUGCUUCCAGGAAAAGCCUCUAAGCAUCAGGUAACAUCAAAUCGUACCCCAAACCGACACAGGUGGUCAGGUAGAGAAUACCAAGGCGCUUGAGAGAACUCGGGUGAAGGAACUAGGCAAAAUGGUGCCGUAACUUCGGGAGAAGGCACGCUGACACGUAGGUGAAGUGAUUUACUCAUGGAGCUGAAGUCAGUCGAAGAUACCAGCUGGCUGCAACUGUUUAUUAAAAACACAGCACUGUGCAAACACGAAAGUGGACGUAUACGGUGUGACGCCUGCCCGGUGCCGGAAGGUUAAUUGAUGGGGUCAGCGCAAGCGAAGCUCCUGAUCGAAGCCCCGGUAAACGGCGGCCGUAACUAUAACGGUCCUAAGGUAGCGAAAUUCCUUGUCGGGUAAGUUCCGACCUGCACGAAUGGCGUAAUGAUGGCCAGGCUGUCUCCACCCGAGACUCAGUGAAAUUGAACUCGCUGUGAAGAUGCAGUGUACCCGCGGCAAGACGGAAAGACCCCGUGAACCUUUACUAUAGCUUGACACUGAACAUUGAGCCUUGAUGUGUAGGAUAGGUGGGAGGCUUUGAAGUGUGGACGCCAGUCUGCAUGGAGCCGACCUUGAAAUACCACCCUUUAAUGUUUGAUGUUCUAACGUGGACCCGUUACCCGGGUUGCGGACAGUGUCUGGUGGGUAGUUUGACUGGGGCGGUCUCCUCCUAAAGAGUAACGGAGGAGCACGAAGGUUGGCUAAUCCUGGUCGGACAUCAGGAGGUUAGUGCAAUGGCAUAAGCCAGCUUGACUGCGAGCGUGACGGCGCGAGCAGGUGCGAAAGCAGGUCAUAGUGAUCCGGUGGUUCUGAAUGGAAGGGCCAUCGCUCAACGGAUAAAAGGUACUCCGGGGAUAACAGGCUGAUACCGCCCAAGAGUUCAUAUCGACGGCGGUGUUUGGCACCUCGAUGUCGGCUCAUCACAUCCUGGGGCUGAAGUAGGUCCCAAGGGUAUGGCUGUUCGCCAUUUAAAGUGGUACGCGAGCUGGGUUUAGAACGUCGUGAGACAGUUCGGUCCCUAUCUGCCGUGGGCGCUGGAGAACUGAGGGGGGCUGCUCCUAGUACGAGAGGACCGGAGUGGACGCAUCACUGGUGUUCGGGUUGUCAUGCCAAUGGCACUGCCCGGUAGCUAAAUGCGGAAGAGAUAAGUGCUGAAAGCAUCUAAGCACGAAACUUGCCCCGAGAUGAGUUCUCCCUGAGACUUAAAGUCUCCUGAAGGAACGUUGAAGACGACGACGUUGAUAGGCCGGGUGUGUAAGCGCAGCGAUGCGUUGAGCUAACCGGUACUAAUGAACCGUGAGGCUUAACCUUACAACGCCGAAG
rnacentral:rRNA from 1 species